CCUACGGGAGGCAGCAGUGGGGAAUAUUGCACAAUGGGGGAAACCCUGAUGCAGCGACGCCGCGUGAGCGAUGAAGUAUUUCGGUAUGUAAAGCUCUAUCAGCAGGGAAGUAAAUGACGGUACCUGACUAAGAAGCCCCGGCUAACUACGUGACAGCAGCCGCGGUAAUACGUAGGGGGCAAGCGUUAUCCGGAUUUACUGGGUGGAAAGGGAGCGUAGACGGUCCUGCAAGCCAGAUGUGAAAGCCCGGGGCUCAACCCCGGGACUGCAUUUGGAACUGUAAGGCUAGAGUGUCGGAGAGGCAGGCGGAAUUCCUAGUGUAGCGGUGAAAUGCGUAGAUAUUAGGAGGAACACCGGUGGCGAAGGCAGCCUGCUGGACGAUGACUGACGUUGAGGCUCGAAAGCGUGGGGAGCAAACAGGAUUAGAUACCCCGGUAGUC
rnacentral:rRNA from 1 species